AUUGAACGCUGGCGGCAGGCCUAACACAUGCAAGUCGAGCGAGCGGCGGACGGGUGCGUACUGUCUGGGAAACUGCCUGAUGGAGGGGGAUAACUACUGGAAACGGUAGCUAAUACCGCCUACAAUCAGAUGUGCCACGAUGGGAUUAGCUAGUAGGUGGGGUAACGGCUCACCUAGGCGACGCUCCCUAGCUGGUCUGAGAGGAUGACCAGCCACACUGGAACUGAGACACGGUCCAGACUCCUACGGGAGGCAGCAGUGGGGAAUAUUGCACAAGGGGCGCAAGCCUGAUGCAGCCAUGCCGCGGGUGUGAAGAAGGCCUUCGGGUUGUAAAGCACUUUCAGCGGGGAGGCGUUACCCGCAGAAGAAGCACCGGCUAACUCCGUGCCAGCAGACGCGGUAAUUC
rnacentral:rRNA from 1 species